UCCUGCGGAGCCACUGACACCUGUGCAAGGCCCCGACUGAUCAUCGGAUUAAGAGACCGCUCAGCAGUGGAUAAUAAUUUCUGCAGAGAGGAGAUCCAGUCGUGGAUUGACGGGAUCCGGCGGAUCGGAAGACCGAGGGAGACUGACCCAGACAAAGUCAGCGACUGGGUCUUCAUCCGCGUCAUCAAGAAAAAGACGUGGAGCGACGCUCGCUGGGAGGGACCAUUCCAAGUCCUUCUGACGACUGCAACCGCUGUAAAGAUAGCCGAGAGGACCACCUGGAUACAUCUCUCCCAUUGCAAACUGUUCCCUACAGAAAUCCCGGACCAGUGCCCUGAUCCCGAGACGACCACGAGCAGAGGGGAAGACUGACUUCAAAGGGGGCUGUCCGCUUAAAAGACAGCCAUCUCAACGUCAGUGAAGAAACCAACGAUCCCUGCUCUUAGGUGUCGACUCGGGUGAUGGAGCGAGAGGUCCCGAGGAACUCAAACGAGAGGAGCAAUCAGUACUCUAGCAUCGGUGUCUGGGCUCACCUCACGGAUGGAGCCCAUUGAAACGACCGCGUACAUUCAUAUGUAUGAUGACAUGGGAAGACCUGUCAAUGCUCCCGUUUAAGAAAAUAUAACGUAAACUUUUGGUUUAAGCUUGUAUGACAUAAUUGUGUAAAACUCCUCACAAGGAACGGACAAUUAUUGAUGUGAAGCUGCUGACUAAAAAGUUUAAUUCCCAAAGAGAUUGGUGUGGUAUUACUAACAAAUUAUGUGUAAGGAAAAAAGAGAAUAAUCAUGAUUCUGCUUGGACUGCUUAACCCAAAUACGUAAAUCACAUGCUGCUUAGAAAUUAGACAAAUAAAAUGAGUGCCCUUAUUGACCAUGUUUAAAUAAUAAGCAAUAGCAUAAACAGGAGGGAACUGACAGAGAUAUAAAUGUAUGUUAUGUUAUUGCUUACCGUAUCUUAAACUCAACAAUCAGAGGAGCUUCCCGAACUCCGCGUUCCCACCCGAAGGUUGUGUUAUGGGUUUGGGGAGUCUGAUAAGGAAGUGAUAAUGAACCAGACGGAAGGAAUAUGUCAACUUGUCCUCAGUUCCACUUCUCCAUUGUUGUUGUGGGUGUGUGUGAUUAAGCUUUCAAUAAAAGGCUGGACCAAAGGGGUGCUCGGCGGAAUGUCUUGGAGGUCGUCGUGUUCAGAGCAUAGGCGACUGAGCUUCCCCUUUGGCCAAAGCUUUGGUCAAAGAUA